CUACGGGGGGCUGCAGUGAGGAAUUUUGCGCAAUGGGGGAAACCCUGACGCAGCAACGCCGCGUGAGUGAUGAAGGCCUUCGGGUCGUAAAACUCUGUCAAGUGGGAAGAACCUAUGUAAGGUUAAUACCCUUAUGUACUGACGGUACCACUGAAGGAAGCACCGGCUAACUCCGUGCCAGCAGCCGCGGUAAUACGGAGGGUGCAAGCGUUACUCGGAAUUAUUGGGCGUAAAGGGCGCGCAGGCGGUUUUGUAAGUCAGAUGUGAAAGCCCGGGGCUUAACCUCGGAAGUGCAUUUGAUACUGCAAGACUUGAGUAUGGGAGGGGGAAGUGGAAUUCCUGGUGUAGAGGUGAAAUUCGUAGAUAUCAGGAGGAACACCAGUGGCGAAGGCGACUUCCUGGACCAAUACUGACGCUGAGGCGCGAAGGCGUGGGGAGCAAACAGGAUUAGAUACCCCUGUAGUC
rnacentral:rRNA from 1 species